ensembl:misc_RNA 7SK 7SK RNA
UGGUGUGAGGGUGAUCUGGCUGUGACAUCUGUCACCCCAUUGAUCGCCAGGGUUGAUUGGGCUGAUGUGGCUGGCUCGGUGGGCGUCCCUUCCUUCCUCACUACUCCAUGUGGGGUCCUCAUAAAGCUGUGUGCUCUGUCCGAGAGUACGACUUCCUGGAUAGAGGAGGACCAUUCUUUGGUCAAGGAUUUACGGGUAGCUCUGCUCCCCUGCUAGAACCUCCAAACAAGCUCUCAAAGUCCAUUUGUAGGAGAACAUAGGGUAGCUUCCAAGACUCCAGACACAUUCAAAUGAGGCACUGCAUGUGGAAGUCUGCCUUUCUUU